GUCGCUUUACCGUAGUGGUUACCGGGAGCCCCUGCUAUUCUUCCGCAAUAGCACUCUUAUGAGAUCAGGGUUUGUGCUUUGCACGCGCAGGUUCGAAUCCUGCAGGCGACG